UACGUAGGGGGCUAGCGUUGUCCGGAUUUAUUGGGCGUAAAGAGCGUGUAGGCGGCCAGGUAGGUCUGCUGUGAAAACUCGAGGCUCAACCUCGAGACGUCGGCGGAAACCAUCUGGCUAGAGUCCGGAAGAGGAGAGUGGAAUUCCUGGUGUAGCGGUGAAAUGCGCAGAUAUCAGGAAGAACACCCGUGGCGAAGGCGGCUCUCUGG
rnacentral:rRNA from 1 species